rnacentral:rRNA from 1 species
UACGUAGGGUCCGAGCGUUGUCCGGAAUUAUUGGGCGUAAAGGGCUCGUAGGCGGUCCGUCACGUCGGGAGUGAAAACUCAGGGCUCAACCCUGAGCGUGCUUCCGAUACGGGCGGACUAGAGGUAUGCAGGGGAGAACGAAUUCCUGGUGUAGCGGUGGAAUGCGCAGAUAUCAGGAGGAACACCGGUGGCGAAGGCGGUUCUCUGGGCAUUACCUGACGCUGAGGAGCGAAAGCAUGGGGAGCGAACAGG